rnacentral:rRNA from 1 species
CUAGCAUAUCAAUAAGCGGAGGAAAAGAAACCAACAGGGAUUGCCCCAGUAACGGCGAGUGAAGCGGCAACAGCUCAAAUUUGAAAUCUGGCCCCUCGGGCCCGAGUUGUAAUUUGUAGAGGAUGCUUUUGGCAAGGUGCCGCCCGAGUUCCCUGGAACGGGACGCCGCAGAGGGUGAGAGCCCCGUCUGGCUGGCCGCCGAGCCUCUGUAAAGCUCCUUCGACGAGUCGAGUAGUUUGGGAAUGCUGCUCAAAAUGGGAGGUAUAUGUCUUCUAAAGCUAAAUAUUGGCCAGAGACCGAUAGCGCACAAGUAGAGUGAUCGAAAGAUGAAAAGCACUUUGAAAAGAGGGUUAAACAGUACGUGAAAUUGUUGAAAGGGAAGCGCUCAUGACCAGACUUGGGCUUGGCGGAUCAUCCGGCGUUCUCGCCGGUGCACUUCGCCUCGCCCAGGCCAGCAUCAGUUCGCGCCGGGGGACAAAAGCUUCGGGAAUGUGGCUCCUCCGGGAGUGUUAUAGCCCGUUGCAUAAUACCCUGGUGCGGACUGAGGUUCGCGCAUCUGCAAGGAUGCUGGCGUAAUGGUCAUCAGCGACCCGUCUUGAAACACGGACCAAGGAGUCGUCUUCGUAUGCGAGUGUUCGGGUGUCAAACCCCUACGCGUAAUGAAAGUGAACGCAGGUGAGAGCUUCGGCGCAUCAUCGACCGAUCCUGAUGUUCUCGGAUGGAUUUGAGUAAGAGCAUACGGGGCCGGACCCGAAAGAAGGUGAACUAUGCCUGUAUAGGGUGAAGCCAGAGGAAACUCUGGUGGAGGCUCGCAGCGGUUCUGACGUGCAAAUCGAUCGUCAAAUAUGGGCAUGGGGGCGAAAGACUAAUCGAACCUUCUAGUAGCUGGUUUCCGCCGAA